AGAGUUUGAUCCUGGCUCAGGAUGAACGCUAGCGGCAGGCCUAACACAUGCAAGUCAGGGGCAGCACGGUGUUAGCAAUACACUGGUGGCGACCGGCGCACGGGUGCGUAACGCGUAUGCAACCUACCCGAUAACAGGGGGAUAACACUGAGAAAUUGGUACUAAUACCCCAUAACAUCAGGACCGGCAUCGGUUCUGGUUGAAAACUCCGGUGGUUAUGGAUGGGCAUGCGUUGUAUUAGCUGGUUGGUGAGGUAACGGCUCACCAAGGCAACGAUACAUAGGGGGACUGAGAGGUUAACCCCCCACAUUGGUACUGAGACACGGACCAAACUCCUACGGGAGGCAGCA
rnacentral:rRNA from 1 species